GACGAACGCUGGCGGCGUGCCUAAUACAUGCAAGUAGGACGCAGUUGCGAACGGGUGAGUAACGCGUAGGUAACUGCCUCUUAGAGGGGGAUAACUAUUGGAAACGAUAGCUAAUAACGCAUACUAGUAGAUGGACCUGCGUUGUAUUAGCUAGUAGGUAGGGUAAUGGCCUACCUAGGCGACGAUACAUAGCCGACCUGAUGGGGUGAGCGGCCAAACUGGGACUGAGACAAGGCCCAGACUCCUACGGGAGGCAGGAGGAGGGAAGCUUCGGAAAUGGGGGGAACCCUGACCGAGCAACGCCGCGGGAGUUAAGAAGGGUUUCGGAGCGUAAAGCUCUGUUGUUAAGGAAGCGGUACCUAACCAGAAAGGGACGGCUAACUACGUGCCAGCAGCCGCGGUAAUUC
rnacentral:rRNA from 1 species